UACGUAGGUGACAAGCGUUAUCCGGAAUUACUGGGCGUAAAGCGCACGCAGGCGGCUCUUUAAGUCAGGGGUGAAAUCCUGGAGCUCAACUCCAGAACUGCCCUUGAUACUGAGGAGCUUGAGUCCGGGAGAGGUGAGUGGAACUGCGAGUGUAGAGGUGAAAUUCGUAGAUAUUCGCAAGAACACCAGUGGCGAAGGCGGCUCACUGGCCCGGUACUGACGCUGAGGUGCGAAAGCGUGGGGAGCAAACAGG
rnacentral:rRNA from 1 species